GCAGCCGAGUCCAGCCAGGAUGGAGAGAGGAGCCUUUGUGCAGGGCACCCGUGCCCCACAUUUCCAGGGGCAGCAAGGCCCUCCCUGGCACUCCCUGCUCUGCCGAGCAGCUGAGUUACAAGUAAAUACAGGCACUCAGAGAUUUACACUCUCUGCAGGCCUGCCUGUCUGCCUGCGUGCUCAGUUUAUUUAGGGAAGGCUGGCGGGGAAGCCAAGAGGAGCCGAAACCCCGCUCUCACAUUUCCCUGGGCUGUGAUGGCGCUUAUUCCCGGAGAAGGAAGUUUGGGAGUGACUCAGAGGCACUCAGACAGCAGAGUGAGUGCUCAGCUCCCCAUCACUGCUGCUCUCACUGCUCCACCACGGGCUGGAACUCGCUCAGCGCGUGGCUCAUCCCCGGAAGGAUGGAAUCAUCUCUCCCGGGACUGUGCUGGAACUCAAAUCCCUCCCGUGCUCAGCACACAGUAAAUAAAGACUGGGAGGCUGCCAGGAUUCCUGCACCGAGGUUAAUGAAUAAACAACCGCCUGCAGGACUCACUCGCCUCCUAUUUUUAACAUCUGUAUCUUUGAUUGCAUCUUCGAGAGACCUCUCCAUAAAUAACCAUUCCAAGAGAUAAAAGCAUUGGAUGCUUCCUUUGACAGAACAGAGAUUAUCAGCAUUUAGACAGAAAAUCUGCUGGUGGGCAAGCAGGCUCUUGCUUUUUAUAGAAAAUGUUGCCUUUCUUGUGGCAAACAGAAUGCUGAAAGAAAAGAAAAUGCAAAUAUAGCAAGGGACAUUCUGGAAAUGGGAGCUCAGUCACGCCUUGUUUUCCCCAUUUCUUCCUGGUGGGAGAUGCUCUCCUCACACAUUUCCAGGAAAACAAUGAAGGAAGCUCAGAAAAGUGGGCAACGUUGGAAAUUAGGAGACCUGCCAGCAUGCCAAGGUCUCUGCUGAAAAUGGGAUUUAAUUGCUUGGUUAUGGAUGCAAUUUUGGGAAUAUUAGCUGAAGUGAAUAAAAUAAAGAGUUUCACAAACACAA